UACGUAGGAGGCAAGCGUUGUCCGGAGUUACUGGGCGUAAAGCGCACGCAGGCGGUCGCAUCAGUCUGGGGUGACAGUUCCCGGCUUAACCGGAAAAGGACUCUGGAAACUGUGCGACUUGAGGGCUUCAGAGGGAUGUGGAAUUCCAGGUGGAGUGGUGAAAUGCGUAGAGAUCUGGAAGAACACCAGUGGCGAAGGCGGCUCACUGGCCCAUAACUGACGCUGAGGCACGAAAGCGUGGGGAGCAAACAGG
rnacentral:rRNA from 1 species